UUUCGAGUACACAGCAACGAUAAAAUUACGUCUUAAUCUCAAAUUUCACUGACCAUAUCAUUCCAUUAGUUGCCAAAAGUGUUUUCCAACAAAAAAUAUAUAUUUUGCACUAUAUAUGCACCACCAUCCAGGGAAAAUAUUUUUCACUAUAUAAACUCUACUACAGAGCUACUUUUCCAUUACUAUGGAGUCCAACUCCCAAUAAGAAUCAGCAUUUGGCUUCUAAUCAGCGUCUUCAGGCAGAUCAUCAACAUCUUCUUUUUUAUUUACUUCUUCUCCCUCUUCUAUGAGAUUCGUUGGCAAGACAUGAAGAAUCCAGGAAGUGUCAACCAAGACCCUAUCUUCAAGAAUUACGGCUUACCUCCUAAUGUAGUUGGUUAUCUAGGGAGAUUGGCAAUGUUGGCAUUUUUCGGAUUUAUAGUACAACACAAUUUGACUGGAAGGACCUUUUGAUAACCUAAUGCAGCAGCUUUCAGACCCAUGGCACAACUCCAUUGUCCAAACCUUCGUGAAGCAGAAAACCUGUUUGAUACUACGCCAAAGAUACUGUUAUCUUUCAAUCAUGAGUUAGUGGUUUUGAUCAAGAAUUGAGCUUUGUUAUAAACAAGUGACCUUUAAUGUACAAGACGACUAGAAUUGCAUGCA